rnacentral:rRNA from 1 species
UACGUAGGGGGCAAGCGUUGUCCGGAUUUAUUGGGCGUAAAGAGCGUGUAGGCGGCCGUACAGGUCAGCUGUGAAAACUCGAGGCUCAACCUCGAGACGUCGGUUGAAACCGUACGGCUAGAGUCCGGAAGAGGAGAGUGGAAUUCCCGGUGUAGCGGUGAAAUGCGCAGAUAUCGGGAAGAACACCCGUGGCGAAGGCGGCUAUCUGGACGGUUUCUGACGCUAAGACGCGAAAGCGUGGGGAGCAAACAGG